rnacentral:sRNA from 7 species
GGGAAGGAUGAGAAGCUUCGACUAAGGUUCGAUUCGAGCGAAAGCGAGAAAGCGUUGCCGCAGGCAACGACCCGAAGGGCGAAGCGCGCAGCGCUGAGUCAUCCUUCCCCCACCACCA